CCUACGGGAGGCAGCAGUGGGGAAUAUUGGGCAAUGGAGGAAACUCUGACCCAGCAAUGCCGCGUGAAUGAAGAAGGUCUUCGGAUUGUAAAGUUCUUUAGUCAGGGAAGAAUAAAAUGACGGUACCUGAAGAAUAAGCUCCGGCUAACUCCGUGCCAGCAGCCGCGGUAAUACGGAGGAUGCGAGCGUUAUCCGGAUUUAUUGGGUUUAAAGGGAGCGUAGGCGGGCGUUCAAGUCAGCUGUAAAAUCGCGCGGCUCAACCGCGCCCCGCAGUUGAAACUGGACGCCUUGAGUUCACAACAGGCAGGCGGAAUUCGUGGUGUAGCGGUGAAAUGCAUAGAUAUCACGAGGAACCCCGAUUGCGAAGGCAGCCUGCCGGGGUGCGACUGACGCUGAGGCUCGAAGGUGCGGGUAUCAAACAGGAUUAGAUACCCGGGUAGUC
rnacentral:rRNA from 1 species